AUUGAACGCUGGCGGCAGGCUUAACACAUGCAAGUCGAGCGAGCGGCGGACGGGUGAGUAAUGUCUGGGAAACUGCCUGAUGGAGGGGGAUAACUACUGGAAACGGUAGCUAAUACCGCAUACCAUCAGAUGUGCCCAGAUGGGAUUAGCUAGUAGGUGAGGUAAAGGCUCACCAAGGCGACGAUCGGUAGCUGGUCUGAGAGGAGUACCAGCCACACUGGGACUGAGACACGGCCCAGACUCCUACGGGAGGCAGCAGUGGGGAAUGUUGGACAAUGGGGGCAAGCCUGAUCCAGCCAUGCCGCGUGUAGGAUGAAGGUCUUCGGAUUGUAAACUGCUUUUGUCAGGGAAGCGGUACCUGAAGAAGAAGCACCGGCUAACUACGUGCCAGCCGCCGCGGUAAUAC
rnacentral:rRNA from 1 species